AUCACACCGGGCCUCUUUUAUCUUAGCCACCCUGUAUGUGUGCAAGCGAGAUGUGCCCGUGUCUGAACUACAGACUUACUACAACUCAUGAGCUCAGUUCAGUCGCACACGACAAAUGGAAACAGAGCAGUUUUCGAGAUCUGAGUGUGACAGACGGACAGACGGACAUUUUGCACAAACCUAAUAGCGGCUUUUUCCCCUUACGGGGGCCGCUAAAAACAGAUGAUACACGAACUCCAGAUAAAGACUACAUCGAUACAACAACUGAAGUCAUAUAAAUAUCUAGGCGUCAUCAUUGAUAACAAGCUCUCAUGGGAAGACCACCUUGGAACUCUGGCAUAGAAAACAGCCCAGAGACUAUUUUUCCUAUACAAACUCAAUAGCUUUAAACUAAAUAAGAAAUUCUUAGAUAUUUUUUUAGGCGCGACUAUGCCAAAUCUGCUAACGUACGGAAUAACAUGUUAGCAAGGCAACGCUUCAUCUUAAGUUGUAUAGGAUAUAAAUACAUUUGUAAAAUGUAUGAACUUUAUGAAUUGCACUUACUGGGACUUAACAUAGAUGACUCACUUACAUCGUAGAAUAACAUACAAGUCAUGAGCAUAGCCAUGGGCGGGGAAUUAUAUUCUUUCACUGAACAGAAUUAUAAGCUCAACACUAUUGUUUCGUUAUAGUCAAAAGCUGCUUUUUUCGUAGAGAAGAUCAGACUCCAAAGAGAAACAUUUGAAACAAAUGAUAAAUGUAAAUAUUUUUAUUUACUUAAUAAGUUGCACAAGUGGAAAACUGUUUAAAAGUUUUCGUACACUUAAAACAAACAUGGUCAAAAUGUGCACUUGUUGUUUUUUUUUUUUUUUGCUAUAUAUAAGCACUUGAAUAAAUAUACAAAUAAAUAAAAUGGGUUCACAUUAAAGCUAGUCACAUGUCUUGAAUAAAGUUUGUUUAAAAUACUGACACAGCAAACAAAUGUAAAUAUGAGGAAAAUACAAAGUAACAAUAGAAUACAAAGUGAUUUACUGUGGUGGUGGUGUUUUUUUUUUUAGCUAAUGUCAAAUUUCGAGUCAAACUCAAAUGAAUGAUCAUGCAGUGUGUCAACAUCAUCUGAUGCUAAAAUAUUGUCUAAAGCAGUAAUGAAUUUGUUUCACAAAGAGAGAAAAAAAGUUGUCAUGUGUUUUAAGUGUUUAAAACACUAUCUGAAGCCAUGUCAUUAUCUAUCCUGUAUAUACCUGAUGAAAGAGAACAAGGUGGAAAUACACAUUUCAUAUAGGAUUAUUUUGAAUGGAAGACAAAACAUAUAUAGAGCAGUGCCUUCAGGCUACAUUCAGCUACAUUUUAGAAUUAUGUGGGCUAGUGACAUGUUUAGAAAAUGUCUAUGCUUACUUCCUUCUAGGCUGAAAAACAGAUUGGGCACUGACCUAUAAAGGUGCAUGAACUACAAGCUCAAAUGCAGUUAGACUAAUUUGAUUAUUUAAAGGUACCAUUGAGUUGAGUCCUUUAACAUCAAUGUGUGUCUGACAAUUAUUGGGAUAAGUAAAGAUACUUUAGGGACUGGCUUGAUCAUGCCCACUCAAUUAAUAAAAUUAUUGAGCCAUCAAGUCUAUAGAUUUAAAUCUCUCAAUAAAAUAGAUACAUGUAUUAGGCAAAAUUAACUAACUUACCAAGAAUGGCUGCGCAAUGAAACAUAACAUUAACUAUUUUUAAACAUGCAAGUGAAAGAAAAAAGUAAUGUUCCCCUUUCAGACUUUGAAAUCUAUAGAGCAGAUGAUGUUAGGUUCAUCUGUUUUUUUGGUCCAAGGUUAACGAGCAGGGUGUCAUGUGACCAGCACAAUGACCAACCGCUUUUACUUUCCAAACUAAAGUCAGGUACCCUUUAGAGUUGGGUGGACUCAGAGGUGUCAUAAAAAUCCCGAAAUUCAAAAUCCAAGUGUUCACUAAAGAUUGAACCCUGGACCCCAGGUUUGGAAUCCAAGCAUUUUAAUACUCAGCCACUGUAAUAACUUUAUGGUACAUAAGAUUACAUAUUAUAAUAGGCCUACAGCUAGCAAGUGAAGAUUUAAGGAUGGUACACAAAUUUUCUGCAUAGUAUGUACAUUAAGUCAAAAUAUGUUUUUAUAAUAUCAGUACAGAGUACAAGAAUGUAAUAUCUUAUACUUAAGAGAAAAACACAACAAAAACUAUCUUAUCUUAUCUUAUAAAAUUACAAGACUUCCAUUAUUAAAAGAAGAUAAUCAUGUCCAACAUGUAUCCAUGUGUUCAUCUCGUCGUGCAUGUUAAUUAGAGACUGAAAAUCUGUUAGGUCACUGGCUGAUUCACGCAACCCAUUCCAUGCUCUAAUAGCACUAGGGAAGAAGAAGCACUACUCUCAUACAUCAGAUUCAUCACUAAGGAAGAGUCACCUUUCUGACCUUGCAAUCUUUAGACUCAUAAUUAAUAGAAAUAUAGUUUCAUUAGAUUUAUAAAGUGAUAAGGUAUUUUAAAUAAUGAAUAGAAAAAAAUAUGAAUGGUCAUUAAUUUGAUAUGAAGUGCUAAAAAUAUUUGUUAGCAAGGUACAUAUUUAAACCAGCUUUCAAUUUUAUUCAUGAGAUGUUACAAAUAUUACCCAUACUAUUCUUUAAAAAAGACAAUAAAUUAUUAUUGCUACUCUUGUGAUACAAUUUGUCUAUAUAUUCAUGACCUGAAAAUGAUGACUUUGCAAAAUAAAAUUAAUUUUAAUGCUACUAAAGUAUCAAACAAAAACAAAAAAUCGAAAUGCUGAUAGAAACAGUUCUUACAUGCUCAGGAACAUGCCUUCAAUAUAAUGAAAUCUAUACUUCAUAGAUAGUUAUUUUAUUUCAGUUUUAAAAACAUACAAUUAUAAAAAAAACAAAAACAAAUGUGGCUCAGGUAAAUAUGGUAAUCCAAAUCUCAAAAAUAACUAUUAUAUUUUCUUUUUCAAUUUCAGAAGAUAAAAGGAGCCCAAAGUGUAUAACACUUUAUUUUUUAAAGUUGGUUGAUCAAUAAUAAAGUUAACCAUAAAAAAUAACAAGGUUACAAGGACAGUUUGUGUGGAGACACAAACUCAAAAUCAGCCCCCAAAGUGGUCCGCCCAGGCAGGUAUAUUUUCAGAAUGAAAUUCUAUCGCAGACCAGUAUAUAUACAUUGCAGUUCACGCAAUAAUAUGAAAAACUACUUAUUAAUUGUUGUUUUAAAAUAUGUCCAACUUAUAUGCAUACUAAAUAGAUUUUUUUCUCUUAAAAAAAGUAAACAUUUUUUUGUGUAAAUGUAGUAGUUAGUAUAACAGAACUUACUUAACUUAGCAAUACAAAUGUAAAAAAAAAAAAAUGUUUUUU